GGUACUGUAGCCAAGUGGUUACGGCGUUACGUUUAGGCCACCCGCUGAUCCGUAAUGGAGCGAUCCUCGCGAGUUCGAAUCUCGUCAGUGCCA
rnacentral:tRNA from 1 species